AACGAACGCUGGCGGCGCGCCUAAUACAUGCAAGUCGAGCGAGAAGACGUAGCAAUACGUUUGUAAAGCGGCGAACGGGUGAGGAAUACAUGGGUAACCUACCCUCGAGUGGGGAAUAACUAGCCGAAAGGUUAGCUAAUACCGCGUACGCUCCUUGGACUUCGGUUCAGGGAGGAAAGCGAUACCGUGGGUAUCGCGCUCUUGGAUGGGCUCAUGUCCUAUCAGCUUGUUGGUGAGGUAACGGCUCACCAAGGCUUCGACGGGUAGCUGGUCUGAGAGGACGGAUCAGCCACACUGGCACUGCGACACGGGCCAGACUCCUACGGGAGGCAGCAGUAAGGAAUAUUGCGCAAUGGGCGAAAGCCUGACGCAGCGACGCCGCGUGGGGGAGUGAAGGUC
rnacentral:rRNA from 1 species